CGGAGACAGGGAGGAGCCGCGACCGCCGCGGCCCCGCGGCGGCAGGUGUGGAUGGGCGCGGCGGAGGUGCGGAGGAGACUGAGGUGCGGGGAUGUCCACUCCCGCCCGCGCUCGCCCGGGGCCCGGGCUUGGGGGCGGGGAGCGCCUCCCCGGAGGAGCUCCGAGAGCUGCUUCGACCUGCGCACAACUUGGGGCGCGGCCCGGGCGCGCAGGUUCCACGUCCGGCGCCGGGAGGAGAAAGGCGCGCGUCCCCGGCCGCGGCGCCCGCGCGGACCCCAACGGUGAGGCGGCGGCCGGGGGGGCCGCCGGGGGGCGGCCGGGGCUGGAGGGUGGGCGGCGCCUCCGCCCUCCGCGUCGACCGGCCGUUUCUCUACUCUUCCGGGAUGGACAACUUGGAGACAGGAGCGACAGCGACGCAAGAUGGCAGCCACCACGGGCUCGGGAGUAAAAGUCCCUCGCAAUUUUUGACUGUUGGAAGAACUGGAAGAAGGCCAGAAAGGAGUAGGAGAUGGCACAGUUAGCUGGGGUCUAGAAGAUGAUGAAGACAUGACACUUACAAGAUGGACAGGGAUGAUAAUUGGGCCUCCGAGACUAAUUUAUGAAAACCGAAUAUACAGCCUUAAAAUAGAAUGUGGACCUAAAUACCCAGAAGCACCCCCCUUUGUAAGAUUUGUAACAAAAAUUAAUAGUAAUGGAGUGGUGGACCGAAGAGCCAUAUCAGUGCUAGCAAAAUGGCAGAAUUCAUAUAGCAUCAAAGUCGUCCUGCAAGAGCCCCGCGCCUAAUGAUGUCUAAAGAAAACACGAAACUCCCUCAGCCGCCCGAAGGACAGUGUUACAGCAAUUGAUCAAAAAGAAAAACCACAGGCCCUCCCCCCACCCCCCUCCCAUUCAAUUUAAGCAGGCUUCAUUUUCCACAAUAGUAAGUUUUCUAGAUACGUCUUGUAGACCUCAAAGUACUGGAAAGGAAGCUCCCAUUCAAAGGCAAUUUAUCUUAAGAUACUGGAAACGAUACUAAUUUUUUUGUCCGUCUAAAAUAUAUAAGUUGUGCUAUAACAAAUCAUCCUGUCAAGUGUAACCCUGUCCACAUAGUUGAACUUCGGGGAUCAAGAAAGUAUAUUUAAAUUGAUUCCCAUCAUAACUGGUGGGGCACAUCUAACUCAACUGUGAAAAGACACAUCACACAAUCACCUUGCUGCUGAUUACAUGGCCCGGGGUCUCUGCCUUCUCCCCUUCUCCUCCCCCUGCCUCCCUGCCUGCCUCCCUCCCUCCCUCCUUCCGUCCCUGCAACAGCCCUUCAGCUUGGGUUGGCUUGCUAGAGUAGGUGUGAAGGUUUCAGGUCACAGCCUGUGGGACUACUGCUGGGUGUGUGUGGGUGCUCCAGCUGCACCCCUGCUUUUUUUAAGUCUUAAAUGAUGCCCCCCACCACACCCCCCCCAAGCCAUUGUCCCUUCUUAACUUUCCACCGCCACCCUUGGCCGAAGCAUAGAUUGUAACCCCCUCUGCUCCCCUCUGAAAUUGGCCUUUGGUAAGGAAUUCAGGGCUCUCCCCAUAUCUUCUCCCCCACUUUAAUUGAGGGGUGCUGCUUUUUCCUUCCUCCUCCUCAACUCCCUUUUUGUACCAUCACCACCCAACACUUUCCACAGUACUUCCUUGCUUUGGCCAGAAGCCAUCAGGUAAGGUUGGAAAGAGUCUCUGACUUCUCUCGUUUAGUUUUGGAACCACAUUUACUCACUCUCCACCAGCCUGGGAAUGAAUAUUGGAUCCCCAGCUCUGCCACCCUCUGCUGUCAUCGUCAGCUGAAGCGUUUUUUUAGCUCAGGUUCUGAUAAAGUGAAAAGAACAGUCACCAGGGGUACUCACACCCGCCAGCUCUCAAAGUUCUUGGUGGUUAAACUUGGAGAAAGACCACAGAAGACACUUGUAAGCACACACGAUCCCUCUGAAUGAAUUUUCUUUUCCUGUAAUUGCUUUUGCUUUUAAAAAUUGAAGUUUUACACAGGGUUCUCAUGUGGUCAUCUUGCAAUCCAUUUGGGUCUAGUUUGGAAUGUGGCAACUGGAACAAAAAGAACCUUGAAUUCGGUGCACACUUUGGUUUUGGUGCUGCUGUUUCUCACGGUCCUCAGCAGGGAUUGAAAAAGAACUCGGUGUGCACAGCGGGUCCCCGAAAUUGGCGGGCUUGACUUCCUGGCAAAUUGCUGCGUUUUUCCACUUUUCUGCUCAGGACCACUAAAUGCUGAGAUGUGGAUGCAUACCGAAAUAAAAGCGAUUCAUUGUGUUCUAAAAAAAAAAAA
rnacentral:lncRNA from 1 species